rnacentral:tRNA from 1 species
AGGGGGGUAGCUCAAUUGGUAGAGCACUGGUCUCCAAAACCAGCGGUUAAGAGUUCGAUUCCCUUCCCCCCUG